GUGCUUGAUUCAGCAGCACAUAUGUUAAAAAUUGGAACAAGACACAAAAGAUUAGCAUGACCUCUGUGCAAGAAAGUAUCCAAGGGGGCUGGAGAGAUGGCUCAGAGGUUA
ensembl:snRNA U6 U6 spliceosomal RNA